rfam:Phaseolus vulgaris cultivar G19833 chromosome 2, whole genome shotgun sequence.
AGUCACGUGUUAUAAACAAAGCGAACUAUUCUUUCGCCUUUUACUAAAGAAUACCGUGUUUAUGACACAUUAAGUGACAUACACCAAUUUUUUAAAGGAUCUUUCUUUUUAAGAAGGGU